rnacentral:sRNA from 1 species
UCACUAAGAUCCAUCCUCAGCGUCCGC